CCUGACGCAGCGACGCCGCGUGAGUGAUGAAGGUCUUCGGAUUGUAAAACUCUGUCUUCAGGGACGAUAAUGACGGUACCUGAGGAGGAAGCCACGGCUAACUACGUGCCAGCAGCCGCGGUAAUACGUAGGUGGCAAGCGUUGUCCGGAUUUACUGGGCGUAAAGAGUAUGUAGGCGGAUAUUUAAGUCAGAUGUGAAAUUCCCGGGCUUAACCUGGGAGCUGCAUUUGAUACUGGAUGUCUAGAGUGUAGGAGAGGAAAGUGGAAUUCCUAGUGUAGCGGUGAAAUGCGUAGAGAUUAGGAAGAACACCAGUGGCGAAGGCGACUUUCUGGACUGUAACUGACGCUGAGAUACGAAAGCGUGGGGAGCAAACAGGAUUAGAUACCCUGGUAGUCCACGCCGUAAACGAUGGGUACUAGGUGUGGGAGGUAUCGACCCCUUCCGUGCCGGAGUUAACGCAAUAAGUACCCCGCCUGGGGAGUACGGUCGCAAGAUUGAAACUCAAAGGAAUUGACGG
rnacentral:rRNA from 1 species